GUGCUUGUAGACAUGGAAGAAGGCCUCACCUUCUCCAUGGCUGACAACCGAGAAGGCUGGUCUGACUUGGAAGAAGCUGUGUGGCCAACAGCCAAUUGGCUGUAUCACAUGGGCACCACUUUCAGAUAAAAACAUAGACCUGAAUGGCAUCAUCCAGUAUCCAAGGAAACCAUUGUGUCUGUAACCAGCUAAUGAGCUGCAACAGAGCCUGGCCUUCAUUUUCAGCAAAUUAAGUUCAUCCCUCAUAGGAAUUGUGGUCUGGCUGUGGCACCGCUCCUAGACAUGACAAACUCCAAAAGGAAACCCAAGCAGCUAUUUGGCUCCCUUAAUUAAUGAAGUCGCCCAGUAUGGAUAAUUCAGGUUCUCUAAACAUGAAUAUGCCUUUGGGGGAAGACAGAAGAACAUGGAAGCCAUGUGAAAAAAACGGAUCCUAAGGCAGUUUUGAACAUCUGGAGGCCUGAUUUAUUGGAGAUUGCAAAUGUACAGUGUAACAUAGCUGUGGAGAGCGAGAAGAUCAGGAUUGUCAAUGCUGUCAUUGCUUUUACUGGAAUCCCCAGCACGAAUUGAAGGUUUGACCAGAGACAAAGAAGCAAAUGCUAUCAAUUAACAUUCACAUGUGGUAGGUCUCACUUUGCCACCUAGGCUGGAUGCAAUGCAACGGUAUGUUGAUCUUGGUUCACUGCAGCCUCAACCUCCUGAGCUCAUGUGAUCCUCCCACCUCAGUCCCCCACGUCGCUUGGAUUACAGGCCUGUGCCACCACACCUGGCUAACUUUUUUUGUAAUUUUUGUAGAGACAGGGUCUCACUAUGUUUCCCAUGCUGGUCUUUAAUGCCUGAGCUCAAGCCAUCCGCCUGCCUCGGCCUCCCAAAUUGCUGGGAUUACAGGCAUGAGCCACCAUGCCCAGCCUAAUUCUUCUAAAUCUUAUCCUAGUAAUUAAGCCAGAAUUUUUCUCUGCCAAGACCAAUAGAUGGACCAAGAAGUACUCAUCCUUGUAAACUUUCUUUGGAUAAAUUGCUUACAUAUAAUAAAUUCAGAGUUAAGUAAUAAAAAUAAUGAACUACUGUCUUG
rnacentral:lncRNA from 1 species